UCACGGUAGCACAUACUGAUUGUCCCUGCUACUGGAGAGGCUGAGAAUGGCGGAAAUGGUGGAUUGCUUGAGCUCAGGAGUUCUGUGCUGCAGCAGAUACUAAAGCUGAUUGAAGGCCCAUACUAAGACUGGCACCAGUAUGGUGAAUCCCUGAGAGGAGAGGGCCACCAGGUUACCUAAAGAGGAACAAAUUAGCCCAAGUUGGAAAAUGGAGCAAGUUUAAGCUUCCCUGUUAAUUAGUAUUGGGAUCAGCCCCUGAAUAGCCUCUUCCCUUCCAGCCUGGGCCAGAUUAGGAGACCCCAUCUCAC
rnacentral:SRP_RNA from 1 species